rnacentral:rRNA from 1 species
AACACAUGCAAGUCGAACGAACCUUCGGGUUAGUGGCGGACGGGUGAGUAACGCGUGAGAAUCUGCCCUCAGGAGGGGGAUAACGGCUGGAAACGGCCGCUAAUACCCCAUAUGCCGCGAGGUGAAAUGAAUCUCGCCUGAGGAUGAGCUCGCGUCUGAUUAGCUAGUUGGUGGGGUAAAGGCCUACCAAGGCAUCGAUCAGUAGCUGGUCUGAGAGGAUGAUCAGCCACACUGGGACUGAGACACGGCCCAGACUCCUACGGGAGGCAGCAGUGGGGAAUUUUCCGCAAUGGGCGAAAGCCUGACGGAGCAACGCCGCGUGAGGGAUGAGGGCCUCUGGGCUGUAAACCUCUUUUAUCAAGGAAGAAGAUCUGACGGUACUUGAUGAAUAAGCCACGGCUAAUUCCGUGCCAACAGCCGCGGUAAUACGGGAGUGGCAAGCCUUAUCCGGAAUUAUUGG